rnacentral:rRNA from 1 species
AUUGAACGCUGGCGGCAGGCCUAACACAUGCGAGUCGAGCGGAUGAAGGGAGCUUGCUCCUGGAUUCAGCGGCGGACGGGUGAGUAAUGCCUAGGAAUCUGCCUGGUAGUGGGGGAUAACGUCCGGAAACGGGCGCUAAUACCGCAUACGUCCUGAGGGAGAAAGAGGGGGAUCUUCGGACCUCACGCUAUCAGAUGAGCCUAGGUCGGAUUAGCUAGUUGGUGGGGUAAAGGCCUACCAAGGCGACGAUCCGUAACUGGUCUGAGAGGAUGAUCAGUCACACUGGAACUGGAACACGGUCCAGACUCCUACGGGAGGCAGCAGUGUGGAAUAUUGGACAAUGGGCGAAAGCCUGAUCCAGCCAUGCCGCGUGUGUGAAGAAGGUCUUCGGAUUGUAAAGCACUUUAAGUUGGGAGGAAGGGCAGUAAGUUAAUACCUUGCUGUUUUGACGUUACCAACAGAAUAAGCACCGGCUAACUUCGUG